rnacentral:rRNA from 1 species
CCCCCUCUGAGCUGUCACCCCGGGAACUGGGGCUAAUCCCAGAUAGAUGAAGACCCCUGGAACGGGUCCUCGUCCAAAAGGCACCACGGUUAUGCUCUGCGGUGUCGCUCAAGGAUGGGGCCGCGUCCGAUCAGGCUGUUGGUGAGGUAAUGGCUCACCAAACCUAUAACCGGUACGGGCCGUGGGAGCGGGAGCCCGGAGAUGGGAACUGAGACAAGGUCCCAGGCCCUACGGGGCGCAGCAGUUACGAAAACUUGUCAAUGCACGAAAGUGUGAACGGGCUACCCCGAGUGCCGUCCGCUGAGGAUGGCUUUUCUCUGCUUUAAGAAGGCAGAGGAAUAAGGCGAGGGCAAGUCUGGUGUCAGCCGCCGUGGUAAUACCAGCUCGCCGAGUGGUAGGGAUGAUUAUUGGGCCUAAAGCGUCCGUAGCUGGCCUUUCAAGUCUCUUGUUAAAUCCAACGAUUCAAUCGUUGGACUGCAGGAGAUACUGCAAGGCUAGGAGGCGAGAGAAGCCGACGGUAUUUUCGGGGUAGGGGUAAAAUCCUAUAAUCCCGAGAAGACCACCAGUGGCGAAGGCGGUCGGCUAGCGCGCGCUCGACAGUGAGGGACGAAAGCUGGGGGAGCGAACCGGAUUAGAUACCCGGGUAGUCCCAGCUGUAAACGAUGCUGGCUAGGUGUUGAAGCGGCCACGAGCCGCUUCAGUGCCGCAGGAAAGCCAUUAAGCCAGCCGCCUGGGGAGUACGGCCGCAAGGCUGAAACUUAAAGGAAUUGGCGGGGGAGCAC